GCGGAAGGAGCGGUAGCCAUUUUAGAUUUGGGCAAACAGUAGCGCUACAGACAGUCUUCGGGAAUGUUUUGCUCUGUCUAUAAAGAGGCACAGCUGCUUACUAUUUCCUAUACUGGGCCAGACCCAGGUUCCAUUUGCAACGUCAAAUGCAAUCUUGCCCCUAGGUCACACCCACUAAUAACAACUUGGAAUUGAAUUAUAACACAAAAGGAGGACUGUGGGAGGAGAGAAGAAUGGCUUUGGGCAGGGAAAACUGGACAAUGGCAUCCAAGGACUGGCAAAAUGUAGAUGUGAAUAAACUGCGGAGGCGCUGAGCCGUGCCUAACUCUGCUAGACAGAAAGUGCCGCGGUGCGAGGUACAUGGUAAAUAGAGACAAAAUUAGGAUGCCUUGUUCUAAUAGUGUCAGAAAUGCGCAUGAGAGUGUAUGAAGCACGGUGUGAAUAAAAUAUGACUCUCUUCUCAUCUUCUCCGCACCAACCCCUGCUAUGAGGAGGGGACCGGGAGGUGAAAAUGUAAUGGAUGUGAAAAGGAUAGCAUUAUUUCUUCCUGAGCCAGAGCCCUGUGCAGAAUUAGCCAAGGGAAGGCUUUUAGGCCUAAGGGCAGGCAAAUGUUUUGGGGAGAGAGACCAUCUGUAGCCCUGCGGUCAGGGGUAAAACUGCCAUCUGUACCCUGGGGCCCAACUGGCACAGUUGUGAUUUACAAGCAGCUAAAAAUAGUCAGAGGUUUAAUGGCAAUCCAGAAAAUACAUUUCUUGCCCCCCAAAGCCAGGAAAUGCCCAUGAACACAUGUCCAUUCCAUAGUGUAAAGGUGGGCCAUAAGAACUGCUAUCCUAGACCCUGCUGGCAGCUUAUUGGCCUAUUGUUUAGUCACAGCCCUACAGCCUGAUCAGUAUUAAAGCAAUACUGUCAUGAGAAAACACGCUUUUU